rnacentral:pre_miRNA from 1 species
GAUUUCAACUAAAAGGCCAUCAACAACAAAGAUGUAUAACUUAUCAAGAUCUAUAACUUUUAUUUUGGUCAUUUUUUUAUCCGAUAAAGUGUUAGUAACAUUGUUCAUAAAAUUGAAAUAUCUAUGUUAUAGUUUAUAAACCAGAUAUGUUAUAGUUUAUAAACCAGAUAAGAGAUAUGUGAAUUUUAUGAACAAUGUCACUAUCACUUUAACGGAUGAAGAAAUGAUCAAAAUAAAAGUUUUAGAUCUUGAUGAGUUAUACAUCUUUGUUGUUGAUAACUUUUCAAUUAAAAUC